rnacentral:rRNA from 1 species
ACGACGACGGGUAGCCGGCCUGAGAGGGCGACCGGCCACACUGGGACUGAGACACGGCCCAGACUCCUACGGGAGGCAGCAGUGGGGAAUAUUGCACAAUGGGGGAAACCCUGAUGCAGCGACGCAGCGUGCGGGAUGACGGCCUUCGGGUUGUAAACCGCUUUCAGCAGGGAAGAAGCGCAAGUGACGGUACCUGCAGAAGAAGUACCGGCUAACUACGUGCCAGCAGCCGCGGUAAUACGUAGGGUACGAGCGUUGUCCGGAAUUAUUGGGCGUAAAGAGCUCGUAGGUGGUUGGUCACGUCUGCUGUGGAAACCCAACGCUUAACGUUGCGCGUGCAGUGGGUACGGGCUGACUAGAGUGCAGUAGGGGAGUCUGGAAUUCCUGGUGUAGCGGUGAAAUGCGCAGAUAUCAGGAGGAACACCGGUGGCGAAGGCGGGACUCUGGGCUGUAACUGACACUGAGGAGCGAAAGCAUGGGGAGCGAACAGGAUUAGAUACCCUGGUAGUCCAUGCCGUAAACGUUGGGCACUAGGUGUGGGGGGCAUUCCACGUUCUCCGCGCCGUAGCUAACGCAUUAAGUGCCCCGCCUGGGGAGUAC